ACGAACGCUGGCGGCAGGCCUAACACAUGCAAGUCGCGCGAGGACUUCGGUCCUAGCGGCGGACGGGUGAGUAACGCGUGGGAAUGUGCCCUUCUCUACGGAAUAGCCCUGGGAAACUGGGAGUAAUACCGUAUACGCCCUAUUGGGGAAAGAUUUAUCGGAGAAGGAUCAGCCCGCGUUGGAUUAGGUAGUUGGUGGGGUAAUGGCCUACCAAGCCGACGAUCCAUAGCUGGUUUGAGAGGAUGAUCAGCCACACUGGGACUGAGACACGGCCCAGACUCCUACGGGAGGCAGCAGUGGGGAAUCUUAGACAAUGGGGGCAACCCUGAUCUAGCCAUGCCGCGUGAGUGAUGAAGGCCUUAGGGUUGUAAAGCUCUUUCAGCUGGGAAGAUAAUGACGGUACCAGCAGAAGAAGCCCCGGCUAACUCCGUG
rnacentral:rRNA from 1 species